rnacentral:miRNA from 1 species
AGCCGCCCGUCACCUCUCCAGCCGGGAGAGGGUCACGGGGGCUGCUUCGCCCGCGCGCACUCUCCCGGCUGGAGAGGUGACGGGCGGCU